UACGUAGGGUGCGAGCGUUGUCCGGAAUUAUUGGGCGUAAAGGGCUCGUAGGCGGUUUGUCGCGUCGGGUGUGAAAUCCACUGGCUUAACUGGUGGCUUGCUUUCGAUACGGGCAGACUGGAGGUAUGCAGGGGAGAACGGAAUUCCUGGUGUAGCGGUGAAAUGCGCAGAUAUCAGGAGGAACACCGAUGGCGAAGGCAGGUCUCUGGGCAUUAACUGACGCUGAGGAGCGAAAGCAUGGGGAGCGAACAGG
rnacentral:rRNA from 1 species